UCAAGACCAAUGUCAGGUCAAGACCCUCCGUGUAUGAUAGAACAUGGUCAAGGCCCCUCUGUGAACUAGAAGAAGUAUAUAAUUAUGGGUACUUUUCUGGUCGAUCUCAAUAUCACAUAUCUCACAUUCCACAUCACAAAUAUUUUCAUAUCUAAUCUUUGAGUCCCACAAAUACAUAAUGAAAGAGAUUUUUCCAAAAUAAUCAUAUAAUUGAGCACAUAAUUGCACGUACUUUGACAAUAUACUUAAUUUAUAAAUACCUUAAAAAUAUUUAUAUUUUUCCACUCACAAAUUUAUAAAUAAAGAUCUGGCUAAAUUGACAAGUUUUUUCAAGCUUUCACAUCACUACCUGAAGUAAUAGUAUAAUUACUCAAAUUAAAACAUCACAAUUAAAUUAAUACAAUUCCACCACUUAACUCCUCAACUUCUAUAUUUACUCUUAUAUCUCCAAUCCCCAACUUUUAUUCUCAUUAUUAAUUCAUCAACUAAACACCAUGCAUUAUCAAAUCUAUUAAAUUACCCACACUUCCUUAAAAUCAAUAACUUAUACAUAUACAAGCCAUACACAUAAUAUAUUCCGACACAAAAACCUCAAUACUUGUUAUAUAACUUCAUUCAAGCCUUUAAAAAUUUGGAAAUCCAAGGUUUGACAUAAGUGGCACUAAAAUUCUAGAAUAUAGAAAUCUGACACCAAUUUCUGUGUAUUGAAAUCUGCCACCAAAACUAUUGACAGAAAUGACACUUUCUGGGCAGAAAUUCAAAAAUAGCACUAUGCAUUCAUUUUGCCCGAAAAUUAGUUUUAAAAAAAAUACCAAAAUCCAACCUCAACUCCAUAUUUCAUUGUAAUACCUCGUAAAUCAAUUGUUUUGUAUCAUAUACAAUAUAAAUAUAAAAAAUUAUGCUUUGAUUUACAAGCCCAUUUCAUAUUCCUUUAACAUAUAUUCAACUCCAAUAUCUAUUCUUUCCUCCAAAUCUUUUAAGUUAGGCCACUAACUACAAACCCAAAUCUAACAAUAUUAUAUAACAAUGAGUUUUUCUUACCUCUUGGAAUAGAAUAGAAGAAAGGAUGAACCUUGUAUUUGAGUCCAUAUAUCAUCUUCUUCAAUAAUACAUUUUUCCUUUUCUUUUUCCACCUUUUUUCCCCCCUUUUCUUUCUCUCUAUCUUGUUUCCUUCUCUACCUCCUUCUCAAUUCUUCUCUCCCUCUCUCAGCUUCUCUGGCCGUUUUUCA
rnacentral:lncRNA from 1 species